rnacentral:rRNA from 1 species
AUUGAACGCUGGCGGCAUAGCUAAAACAUGCAAGUCGAGCGAAGCAGUAGCAAUACUGACUUAGCGGCGAAAGGGUGAGGAAUACAUUUCUACGUACCCCGAGGUCGAGGAUAGCCAUGGGAAACUGUGGGUAAUACUCGAUGUGGUCCGAAAGGAUCAAAGGUUUACCGCCUUGGGAGCGGGGAAUGUCCUAUCAGGUAGUUGGUGAGGUAAUGGCUCACCAAGCCGUAGACGGGUAGCAGGUGUGAGAGCACGGCCUGCCACAUCGAAACUGAGACACUGUUCGGACUCCUACGGGAGGCUGCAGUAACGAAUCUUCCGCAAUGCGCGAAAGCGUGACGGGGUAAUGCCGCGUGUGGGAUGAAGCCCUUCGGGGUGUAAACCACUGUCAGGGUUCACCAAAUAAAUGAGGAGACCCAAAGGAAGAGCCGGCUAACUCUGUGCCAGCAGCCGCGGUAAUACAGAGGGCUCAAGCGUUAAUCGGAAUCACUGGGCUUAAAGCGUGCGUAGGCGAACCUAAAGGCCCGUUGUGAAAUCCCACGGCUCAACCGUGGAAUUGCAGCGGGAACCAUAGGUCUUGAGGCAGGUAGAGGUGGUCGGAACGAUAGGUGGAGCGGUGAAAUGCGUAGAUAUCUAUCGGAACGCCAAUGGAGAAAUCAGGCCACUGGGCCUGUCCUGACGCUGAGGCACGAAAGCGUGGGGACCAAACGGGAUUAGAUACCCCGGUAGUCCACGCCGUAAACGAUGCGCACUAGUUCGGGGAUGCUUGACGCACUCUCGAACGAAGCAAAAGUGUUAAGUGCGCCGCCUGGGAAGUACGAUCGCAAGAUUAAAACUCAAAGGAAUUGACGGGGGCUCACACAAGCGGUGGAGCAUGUGGCUCAAUUCGAAGCAACGCGAAGAACCUUAUCCUAGGCUUGACAUGUACGGAUUAACUCCUAGAAACAGGAGCCACUCUCGCAAGAGCGGAACGUACACAGGUGCUGCAUGGCUGUCGUCAGCUCGUGCUGUGAAGUGUCGGGUUAAGC